rfam:Felis catus isolate Cinnamon breed Abyssinian chromosome A2, whole genome shotgun sequence.
GCCUGGGUGGCUUGGUCGGUUAAGCGUCUGACUUCGGCUCAGGUCACGAUCUCACGGUCUGUGAGUUCGAGCCCCGCGUCGGGCU